GGCGACGCUGCGCAGUCAAAGCGAAUCGGCUCCGGUUUGCCCGAUAGUGGCAGUGCGCAGAGGGGAAAAAAUGAAACUCGCUGAAUUCACAGUCACGCAAGAUGCGCGUCGCGACUUUUCCCGAAAAUACGGAUAAUGGCUCAGCGAUGCAGAGCGUCAGGCACAAAGUAGGAUGACCUCUCCGCCCACCUGCUUGCGCGUGGCAUGGCCGAUCUGCGGAUCACCCAGCCUGGGAUCCGUCUGUGGCAGAGUACUGGGAAGGAUGCACAUCACCUUAUCCCAGGGUUAAUGAGGCUCCACUUUAUUUAUGGCAAUAUUUUCAUGAUUAAUCUUUGGAUAAAAGCCCUUGCUUUCCUUUCGUGGAGCCACCAACAGGCAUUCUGUGUCCUGUGAGGCAGCCGGAAGGAAUUCUGCAAAUAGCCUACGAGUAUUAUUAGCAAGAACGCGACGUUUAAUCGAUUAGUUAAUAAAGAAUGAGACUUAAAACAUC